rnacentral:lncRNA from 1 species
GUGACAGAAGAGAGUGAGCACACAUGGGUUUUCUUGCAAAAUAAUCAUUUAGCCUCUCAUGUAUGCUUGAAAUUAUGUGUGCUCACCCUCUAUCUGUCACCCCUCCUCUUUCUCUCUCUAGUUAUGUACAUGUGUGUCUCUUAUCUUCUACUGCCUAUGUAUAUGAUGGGAAGAUGCAAAGGUAAAAGGGUGGUGACAGAAGAGAGUGAGCACACAUGGGUUUUCUUGCAAAAUAAUCAAUUUAGCCUCAUGUAUGCUUGAAACUAUGUGUACUCACCCUCUAUCUGUCACCCCCUCCUCUUUCUCUCUCUAGUUAUGUACAUGUGUGUCUCUUAUCUUCUAAUGUGUAAAUUUAUGUCAUGUAUUUUAAGAGUAAGAUUGUAAGGGAAGGAGUCGUGACAGAAGAGAGUGAGCACAGAUGGGCUUUCUUGCAUGAUAUUAGAUGGAGAUAUAGCAACUAUAAGGUUUCAUAUGCUUGAAGUCAUGUGUGCUCACUCUCUAUCUGUCAU